rnacentral:rRNA from 1 species
GUGCCAGCAGCCGCGGUAAUACGGAGGGGGCAAGCGUUAAUCGGAAUUACUGGGCGUAAAGAGCUCGUAGGCGGUUUGUCGCGCCUGCUGUGAAAACUAGAGGCUCAACCUCUAGCUUGCAGUGGGUACGGGCAGACUAGAGUGCGGUAGGGGAGAUUGGAAUUCCUGGUGUAGCGGUGGAAUGCGCAGAUAUCAGGAGGAACACCGAUGGCGAAGGCAGAUCUCUGGGCCGUAACUGACGCUGAGGAGCGAAAGAGUGGGGAGCAAACAGGCUUAGAUACCCUGGUAGUCCACGCCGUAAACGAUGAGUGCUAAGUGUUGGAGGGUUUCCGCCCUUCAGUGCUGCAGCUAACGCAUUAAGCACUCCGCCGGGGGAGUACGACCGCAAGGUUGAAACUCAAAGGAAUUGACGGGGGCCCGCACAAGCGGUGGAGCAUGUGGUUUAAUUCGAAGCAACGCGAAGAACCUUACCAGGUCUUGACAUCCUUUGACCACCUCAGAGAUGAGGUUUCCCCUUCGGGGACAAAGUGACAGGUGGUGCAUGGUUGUCGUCAGCUCGUGUCGUGAGAUGUUGGGUUAAGUCCCGCAACGAGCGCAACCCUUAUUGUUAGUUGCCAUCAUUAAGUUGGGCACUCUAGCGAGACUGCCGGUGAUAAACCGGAGGAAGGUGGGGAUGACGUCAAAUCAUCAUGCCCCUUAUGACCUGGGCUACACACGUGCUACAAUGGGAAGUACAACGAGUCGCAAAGUCGCGAGGCUAAGCAAAUCUCUUAAAGCUUCUUCCAGUUCGGAUUGUAGGCUGCAACUCGCCUACAUGAAGCCGGAAUCGCUAGUAAUCGCGGAUCAGCACGCCGCGGUGAAUACGUUCCCGGGCCUUGUACACACCGCCCGU